UGUAGAAGACAUCUGGUGAUUGUGAGACACCCAGCAGCCAUCCCGGUGUGUCAGGUGGACUGAGCAGAACCCAAAGCCCCAUCACGGUGCCUCCACCUCACUCACUGAUACAUGAGAGGCACAGUGACCAGAAGAUCCUGGAACUCGCCAACAAAAUCAUUCAGCUGCUGACUGGAGAGGAGGAGGAGUAUAUAGAGGAACACAGGGGUCUGUACAAGGACGUGAUGAUGGAGAAUCACCGGCACCUCACAUCAGUGGAUGGACCCAGUAACAGAGAUACCCCAGAGAGAUGUCCCCGUCCUCUGUAUUCCCAGGAUUGUGCAGAGGAGAAUCACAGGAUCCCACAGGAGG